rnacentral:rRNA from 1 species
AGAACGAACGCUGGCGGCAUGCCUAAUACAUGCAAGUCGAACGAUCCCUUCGGGGAUAGUGGCGCACGGGUGCGUAACGCGUGGGAAUCUGCCCUUGGGUUCGGAAUAACUUCGGGAAACUGAAGCUAAUACCGGAUGAUGACGAAAGUCCAAAGAUUUAUCGCCCAGGGAUGAGCCCAUGUCGGAUUAGCUAGUUGGCGGGGUAACGGCCCACCAAGGCGACGAUCCGUAGCUGGUCUGAGAGGAUGAUCAGCCACACUGGAACUGAGACACGGUCCAGACUCCUACGGGAGCAGCAGUAGGGAAUAUUGGACAAUGGGCGCAAGCCUGAUCCAGCCAUGCCGCGUGAGUGAAGAAGGCCGUU